GACGAACGCUGGCGGCGUGCCUAAUACAUGCAAGUCGAGCGAAGUUUUUCUGGUGCUUGCACUAGAAAAACUUAGCGGCGAACGGGUGAGUAACACGUAAAGAACCUGCCUCAUAGACUGGGACAACUAUUGGAAACGAUAGCUAAUACCGGAUAACAGCAUUUCUCGCAUGAGAGAUAUUUAAAAGUUGGUUAUGCUAACACUAUGAGAUGGCUUUGCGGUGCAUUAGCUAGUUGGUGGGGUAAAGGCCCACCAAGGCGACGAUGCAUAGCCGACCUGAGAGGGUGAUCGGCCACACUGGGACUGAGACACGGCCCAGACUCCUACGGGAGGCAGCAGUAGGGAAUCUUCCGCAAUGGGCGAAAGCCUGACGGAGCAACGCCGCGUGAGUGAAGAAGGAUUUCGGUUCGUAAAGCUCUGUUGUUAGGGAAGAAUGGAUAUGUAGUAACUAUGCAUAUAAGAGACGGUACCUAACCAGAAAGCCACGGCUAACUACGUGCCAGCAGCCGCGGUAAUACGUAGGUGGCAAGCGUUGUCCGGAAUUAUUGGGCGUAAAGCGCGCGCAGGUGGUUUAAUAAGUCUGAUGUGAAAGCCCACGGCUCAACCGUGGAGGGUCAUUGGAAACUGUUAAACUUGAGUGCAGGAGAGAAAAGUGGAAUUCCUAGUGUAGCGGUGAAAUGCGUAGAGAUUAGGAGGAACACCAGUGGCGAAUGCGGCUUUUUGGCCUGUAACUGACACUGAGGCGCGAAAGCGUGGGGAGCAAACAGG
rnacentral:rRNA from 1 species